rnacentral:misc_RNA from 1 species
GGAUCAUGCACGAAUAUUGUGCAACUUUUAAUCUGCCUAACCAGAAUGCGUUCGUUCUCUGCAAAUUAAUGAAGAAGCCAGACGAUAAGGGCAGCACGCAGACAUGUAAUAUGGGUGAUUCUGAUAUUGAAAAUCAGAAGGGUAAUAAUUCAUCCUUUGGUAAAGGUGAAACAAGUUGCCCUAUCACUUCCACUACUAAGGAAAAUCUCCCAGAUGAUGGGAUUCCAAAGGAGGUACAUCCUGAACUACCAACACAUCCUGAAUCACUCCAGCCAUGGAAUGAUCAGAAUUACUGGCUUAAUUCUGCAUCAGAAUGGCCUAUGCAGGCAGAGCAAGGAGUCUACAAUUAUUGCGAAGACGAUGUGUUCUCUGGGCUUGAACCUCUUUUCUGUUUUAAUGGUGUAUAAUUAAGACUAACUAUAUAAUAGCUUAGAAAUAGCAUAUGACAAAUGAGCAGGGUAGUUUAAACCAUCAAAUCUGCAGCAUAUGGAUGGAGAGUAUUGUCAAAGAGAGUGUGUUAUGGGACCUCCAUUUCAUUUAUGGCAGCAGUGUAGUGUUUUAUUUUACUUAUUUGAUUGUUUUAAC